CAAGCCAAAAGGGUCAGAAUUACGCCUAGAUUAAACGCGUUUGCAUACAAAACGCCGUUUUUUACGGCGUUUAAAACGGUAUUAGCGCCGUCAAAUACGCCGUCCUUAUAGCAGACGCCGUAAAAAACGCGCGUAAACCGUAAAAAACGCCGCAAAAAACGGCGUUUUAGUGUUUGUAAAAAGCGCCGCUUUUAACGCCGUCGGCUUGCCACAGGACGCCGUAAAAAACGCCGUUCUGAAUGCACAAAAGCGCGCGUUAUUUACGGCGUUCUCCUUGUAGUAUAAUGAGCCACGCCCGCUGAUUUCCACAGCCAGUAAUAAUGAACUGUUCUCACCCAAUCAAUGAUGACCUGACUCAGACCAGACUAGUUUACAUCCGAGUUCGAUUGUUAUUUUAAUCACUCGAUUGGUUGGUUGGUUGAUAUGAAGAUGGCCAGGAGAAUCUUUAUUUUGCGUUGUCAGCAGAAGCUGAACAAUUGCACUCGACAGCUGACAGAAGAUUCUGGUGUACUACAAUCAACUUUAGUGAGGCUAGAAACAAUGUAGAGAAGCAUUGAAUGGGCGAGAGGAAGGCUGAUCACUGCACCAGAAGCAGACGAGUUACUCCAAGAUCUCAAUGAAUAUAUAGCAGAGGUACAAAAGCAUAGGCAGCAUGGACAACAAGCCAGUUCCAGUUAUCAGGCUCCACUCUGAUCGAGGUGCACCCCAUUACAGCAUCACCAGAGAGCAACUUUCCUUUCUGAGGACAUGUGGUUUUAGUCUUCCUUCAAUAGCAGAGAUUCUGCAAGUGUCUCUGGCUACCGUCAAACGCCGCAUGGAAGAGAUUCCAUUUGAAUCGCUCUCUGACUUAAUCUGAAAUAACCGAUGUAGAUCACAGACAUUGUGGAUGGAAAUGACCAGCUGGGAUCGGAGGCUGUCAGGGCACAGUUACGGUCAGGUGGAAAUCGUGUACAAAGACACAGAGUACGCAGGAGCUUGGUUCAAAUUAACCCAAUUGCAGCAGCACUACAGGACAUGUCACAAAGACCACACAGAAGGUUGUACAGUGUUGCUGGUCCAAACUCCCUGUGGCACCUAGAUGGCAACCACAAAUUGAUAAGAUGGAGAAUUGUCAUUCAUGGUGUUAUAGAUGGCUACAGUCAUCUCAUAGUCUUUCUGCAUGCCUCAAACAACAUCCACAGCAGCACUGUAAUGCCUUCUAGGGUCAGAACAGACCAUGGAGGAGAAAACCAUGAUGUCUGUGUGAUGUUGAACAUUUUCAGGGGCUCAGAGAGAAGAGGCAGGAGCGUUCACAACUAAAGGAUUGAGAGUCUCUGGGGUGACAUGUGGCGGGGAUUGACUAACGUAUAUUACAAUCUCUUUCACUUCCUGGAGGCUGAAGGUAUCUCUGACAUAGACAAAGAAAUGCACAUAUGGGGCUCUUCACUUUGUCUAUGUGCCGAGGAUCAACAGGUGUUUAUCAGCCUUUACUCAACAGUGGAACAACCAUGGGCUGAGAACAGAACAACACCAGACACCCAUGCAGAUAUUUGUUCGAGGCUGCCUGGAACAACAAGGACAGCGAACCACUGCAAUGGAAGAGAUCUUUGGCAGAACAGCUGGACCAGCAGAUGAACCUGUUCUUCAGGCACCGGCAGCAGAAUCAAGCUUGCAGGAGGCACCAGUGUUUGACUGGCCAGAGGGAGUAGCUGUUCCUCAAAGUGACUUCACAUUGGAGAGUGCUGCCUUAGAGCAACUUGUUGCACAAAUUAAUCCACUUGGUGGUUCAAGGGGACAACUCUGAGUGGAUGUCCUUCAAAACAUUUUAUCUCUUUUGAUGUCUCUGAAUCCCCAACAUUAAAGAAAAAUAAAUGGUUAUUUCUGUAAUCACAGAUUAUGGUCACCACUGACUAAUUAUAUGGACACUGAAUUUUUGGUGAGCCAACCACUGAAGUUUGUCGUGGGUGUGGAUAGAUCCACUUGAAGUUAUAUUUUGAGUAGCUGUUACAAUAUUUAAGUAUGGUUAAAGGGUUAGCUCACCCAAAAAUGAAAUUUGUCAUUAAUUACUCACCCUCAUGUUGCCCCAAACCUGUAAGACCUUUGUUUGUCCUCAGAACACAAAUUAAGACAUUUCUGGUAAAAUCCAAGGAUGAUCCACAUAAACAGCAAUGGUACUGCAUCUUUUGAGGUCCAGAAGGGUAUUAAAAGCCAUUGAUAGUGUUUCAACAUUAAUAUUAUAAAGUGACGUGAAUAGUUUUGGUGCGCAAAAACAAAACAACUUUUUCAACUAUCUAGAGAAGGACGAUCUCUGAACAAUAAUUCACGAAGCUUCAAUUCUUUAUGAAUCUUGUUUAGAAUUAAUCUCAUAUUUCAUCUAAAAUAUCUAUCAUUUGUGUUCUGAGGACUAACGAAAGUCUUACAGGUUUGGUACAUUAUGAGGGUGAGUAAUUAAUGACAGAAAUUUCAUUUUUGGGUGAACUAACCAUUUAGGAUGGCGUGAAAUUUUAAAGAAACAUCACCAAUAGCAUGUUCACCAUUUGAAACUUGAAAAUAAAAGUUUCUAUUUCCCACA